UACGGAGGGGGCUAGCGUUGUUCGGAAUUACUGGGCGUAAAGCGCACGUAGGCGGAUAUUUAAGUCAGGGGUGAAAUCCCGGGGCUCAACCCCGGAACUGCCUUUGAUACUGGGUAUCUGGAGGUCGAGAGAGGCGAGUGGAAUUCCGAGUGUAGAGGUGAAAUUCGUAGAUAUUCGGAGGAACACCAGUGGCGAAGGCGGCCCGCUGGCUCGAUACUGACGCUGAGGUGCGAAAGCGUGGGGAGCAAACAGG
rnacentral:rRNA from 1 species